rfam:Gavia stellata contig20709, whole genome shotgun sequence.
GGCCCUGUAGCUCAGUGGUUAGAGCACUGGUCUCGUAAACCAGCGGUCGUGAGUUCAAACCUCACCAGGGCCU